rnacentral:rRNA from 1 species
AAUAGAUACCCAGGUAGUCCACGCCGUAAACGAUGAAUGCUAGGUGUUAGGGGUUUCGAUACCCUUGGUGCCGAAGUUAACACAUUAAGCAUUCCGCCUGGGGAGUACGGUCGCAAGACUGAAACUCAAAGGAAUUGACGGGGACCCGCACAAGCAGUGGAGUAUGUGGUUUAAUUCGAAGCAACGCGAAGAACCUUACCAGGUCUUGACAUCCCUCUGACCGGUCUAGAGAUAGGCCUUUCCUUCGGGGACAGAGGAGACAGGUGGUGCAUGGUUGUCGUCAGCUCGUGUCGUGAGAUGUUGGGUUAAGUCCCGCAACGAGCGCAACCCUUGAUCUUAGUUGCCAGCACUUUGGGUGGCACUCUAGGAUGACUGCCGGUGACAAACCGGAGGAAGGUGGGGAUGACGUCAAAUCAUCAUGCCCCUUAUGACCUGGGCUACACACGUACUACAAUGGCCGAUACAACGGGGAAGCGAAGUCGCGAGGCGGAGCCAAUCCUAUCAAAAGUCGGUCUCAGUUCGGAUUGCAGGCUGC